GAGCGGCGAACGGGUGAGUAACACGUGAGUAACCUGCCCUUGGCUCUGGGAUAAGCCCGGGAAACUGGGUCUAAUACCGGAUAUAACCACUGGAUGCAUGUCUUGGUGGUGGAAAGUUUUUCGGCUGGGGAUGGGCUCGCGGUCUAUCAGCUUGUUGGUGGGGUGAUGGCCUACCAAGGCGACGACGGGUAGCCGGCCUGAGAGGGUGACCGGCCACACUGGGACUGAGACACGGCCCAGACUCCUACGGGAGGCAGCAGUGGGGAAUAUUGCGCAAUGGGCGGAAGCCUGACGCAGCGACGCCGCGUGGGGGAUGAAGGCCUUCGGGUUGUAAACCUCUUUCACCACCGACGAAGCUAACGUGACGGUAGGUGGGGAAGAAGCGCCGGCUAACUACGUGCCAGCAGCCGCGGUAAUACGUAGGGCGCAAGCGUUGUCCGGAAUUAUUGGGCGUAAAGAGCUCGUAGGCGGUCUGUCGCGUCUGCCGUGAAAACCCGAGGCUUAACCUCGGGCCUGCGGUGGAUACGGGCAGACUAGAGGUAGGUAGGGGAGAAUGGAAUUCCC
rnacentral:rRNA from 1 species